GACGAACGCUGGCGGCGUGCUUAAUACAUGCAAGUCGAACGAUCCCGAGCUUCGGCUCAAUGGGAGAGUGGCGAACGGGUGAGUAACACGUGAGAAACCUGUCCCGGAGAUGGGGAUAGCCCAGGGAAACCUGGAUUAAUACCCAAUACCCUGCCAGCACCGCAUGGUGCAGUCAGGAAAGGUUCCGGCGCUUCGGGAGGUCUCGCGGCCUAUCAGCUUGUUGGUGAGGUAACGGCUCACCAAGGCAUCGACGGGUAGCUGGUCUGAGAGGACGAUCAGCCACACUGGGACUGAGACACGGCCCCAGACUCCUACGGGAGGCAGCAGUAGGGAAUCUUGCGCAAUGGGCGAAAGCCUGACGCAGCAACGCCGCGUGGGGGAA
rnacentral:rRNA from 1 species